rnacentral:rRNA from 1 species
CUACGGGCGGCUCCAGUGGGGAAUAUUGCACAAUGGGCGCAAGCCUGAUGCAGCAACGCCGCGUGGGGGACGACGGCCUUCGGGUUGUAAACCUCUUUUAGUAGGGAAGAAGCGCAAGUGACGGUACCUACAGAAAAAGCACCGGCUAACUACGUGCCAGCAGCCGCGGUAAUACGUAGGGUGCAAGCGUUGUCCGGAAUUAUUGGGCGUAAAGAGCUCGUAGGCGGUUUGUCGCGUCUGCUGUGAAAAUCCGAGGCUCAACCUCGGACCUGCAGUGGGUACGGGCAAACUAGAGUGCGGUAGGGGAGAUUGGAAUUCCUGGUGUAGCGGUGGAAUGCGCAGAUAUCAGGAGGAACACCAAUGGCGAAGGCAGAUCUCUGGGCCGUAACUGACGCUGAGGAGCGAAAGCGUGGGGAGCGAACAGGAUUAGAUACCCGAGUAGUC